rnacentral:tRNA from 1 species
GAGAGAAUGGCUGAAAUUUAGGCGAUAGAUUGUAAAUCUAUAUAUGAAGGGGUGUCUUCUUUUCUCA